AGCUGUCAUGAACACGUCAGAGAAAAGUCAAAAGCAGAGAGACAUCUUGCUUCUUGUUAGUAAGAUAUCCAACUUAUUGGAUACUGGUUUGGACAACAGAUCUCUUUACAUAUGUAUCCGACUGAUUGAAGCUGGUGUACACCCGGAGUGUUUGGCAGAUAUCAUAAAGGAUCUGAGGAAUGAGAGUUCUAGCAUGGGCUCCAAGACUGCAGCCAGCCGCCCCUUGUCUGUCAGAUCUAAGUGAUGGGUUAUAUGGUUACAAUGUUCCUUACUUCAACAACCAUGUGCUCGCCUGGUCAUUGGUUUGGGACUGGUUCGGUAUAUAAUACAGAUUAAUAUUCGAUCAUGAAAGAGCUGAGAAAUCUGCAAUAAGAUCAUAUUGUUCAUCUAACAUCAGCUGUCAGCAAUUAAAUUCCAGAACGUUUCAACUUUAUUUGGUCAUUGACAUUAGAAGCUUUGAUGAAUUUCGAGAGGAAUUGAAUUAUUUGACUUAAUUAAUAUCUCUACUAUAAUUCAGAGAAUUCCCUUUGUAUCUUUGUACGACCGCAAAUAGAAGAGAAAUAGGUAGUUACAUAAUAACCAUGGUAACGAGGGUUAUUACACGCACGUGCACGUGCAAUGAUUGUUUUAACGUCAUUUUGAUCGGUUUUGUUGAUAUUACGCUGUGUUUAGUACGAGCAACAUUUUAAUUGGCUGUAUCUUUGGUGGGGAUGAAUACUUUUUGACACGAUUAAAACUGACUUCCAAAGAAUACUAUUACUAUUAGGUUCCUCCCUUACCUGUGACCACGGGUUUUCUAGUUAUUUAUAAAAUCACUUUUUUAACAAUUUUGUAUCUUAAGUUUGAACUUCUCAUUUUGCAGUUAGAAGAAAUAGGAAACUGAGAAUUUGUUUGCAUCACCAAUACGAUACAUUAUUUCAAGGGUGUAGUUACACACUUGCCAAAUUGAGUUUUGAGUCACGUUUAAUAUAACUUGAGACCUAUAUUUUAGUAUAUCGGUAAGCAGGUGACCAGCUGCACUCAGUGGACCUGCACUCACUCACUCCUGCUGCAGGUCCGAUAUACCAUAAUAUAAUAAAGAUAGAUUAAUUUAUGUUCAUUGCUCGGCCGACGAGAUGAAAUUGUAUUGUGUACAGUUUAUUUACGUGUAAUAAAUACUGAACUGUAAUAAUGACUAUGAUCCUGCAGUAGUAUCUGUAAUGGACCUCUGCUCCAGUAUUAGCUGACAUUUUAAAGAUUG